rnacentral:misc_RNA from 1 species
GGAAGGAUCAUUCCUAAUGAAAAGCAUUGGCUUUUUAUCAACCCGUUGAACUGUAGAGUGUGCUUGCACACUGUAUCACAUUUAAACCAAGGACUAUCAACAAAUAGACUGAUUAUAGACCAUUCAUUUGGUUGACUUAAAAUAAACAGCUAUUGGCAACGGAUACCUCGGUUCUCACAACGAUGAAGAACGCAGCGAAACGCGAUAUUUAAUGCGAAUUGCAGAAUUCAGUGAAUCAUCAAAACUUUGAACGCAUGUUGCGCUUUUGGGAUAUUCCUGGAGGCAUGCCUCUUUCAGUGUCGGUUUUCAAAUCUAGUCCUUUGUGAUUAGGAGAAUGAAAGUUGAUUGCGCAAGCAGUUGUCUUUUUAAAUAACAACAUUCUUGUAAUGCGAUAGGUAUUCUAUGAAACGAAUAAAGAUGAUUCAAUAGAAUUGUGUUUGGGAGAUUCAUGUAGCAUAUCAACUCAAAAUACAGUAAGGAAUGUGCGUAUUGCAACCAUUCGCAAGGAUGCAAAAUCGAUUCAAGACCUGAGUGAGGUAAGACAACCCGCUGAACUUAAGCAUAUUAAUAAGCGGAGGAAAAGAAACUAAAAAGGAUUCCCCUAGUAACGGCGAGUGAAAAGGGAAGAGCCCAACCUGAAAAUCCAGCGGGUUCCCUGUUGGAGUUGUGGGUUACGGAAGCAAUAUCAGCGGGAGUCUCGGUUUAAGUGUGUUGGAAAGCACCGGCAUAGAGGGUGACACCCCCGUAUAGAGCUGAGAACCAACCGCGUACGAUAUGCUUUCCUAGAGUAGGUUUGCUUGAAAGUGCAAACUGAAUUGGGAGGUAAAUUCCUUCUAAGGCUAAAUAUAUGUGAGAGACCGAUAGCGCACAAGUACCGUGAGGGAAAGGUGAAAAGGACUUUGAAAAGAGAGUCAAAAGUACUUGAAAUUGUCAGUAGAUAAGCGAUAGAGACUAGUGCAUAGUUAUUCCAUAUCUCUUGCUUGUAACUUUAUGAGUAAGUCCUGUGAGUUUAGCUUGUGUCACCUUGAAUUGAGAGUAGAGGAAAGGGCUGCAUCUGGGUAGCAAAGCUUUUGUUUUGCGAUGAGUUGUAGUUGUACUUUGCUUCUGAUGCUUGGUGACGAAAUAGUCUUUAUCGACCCGUCUUGAAACACGGACCAAGGAGUCUAACAUAUAGGCAAGUCAAUGGGUGUAAAACCCUACGGCGUAAUGAAAGUGAAGGAGUACUUGUACUCUGAGGUGUGCCACCUGUAUAUGGUUUCAACACCGCCCGGCAGUUCCAUUAGUGUUCUGUUCGAGGUAGAGCCUACAUGUUAGGACCCGAAAGAUGGUGAACUAUGCCUGAGCAGGGUGAAGCCAGGGGAAACUCUGGUGGAAGCUCGAAGCGAUACUGACGUGCAAAUCGUUCGUCGGACUUGGGUAUAGGGGCGAAAGACUAAUCGAACCGUCUAGUAGCUGGUUCCCUC